UAGUUCCAAUAUUCAUGCUUAAAUGAAAUACAUCUACAACAUUUGAGAUGCUAAAUUUUCUAGCAAAAUUUAUAAAUUCAAAAGCAAGAACAAAGCUUGUAACAUUUACAACAUUUAAAUCUCACAAAAUAUGAAAAAUCACAAAACCCAAAAGGAUUCACCAUAAACUAAGCCUAGGCUCUGAUACCACUUGAAGGAAAAAUUUUGUCCUAGCUAAGAACAAGUAUGAACAUUUGAAUACAUAUGCAUACUAUUAACUCAUUAAUAUAGGCAUGCAUCCAAAAACAAUUCAAUAAAACCCAUGACUUUUCAAAGCCUAGUAUAUGGUGAACCAAAAUAAACUCUUUAACAACAUUAAAGAGAAAGA
rnacentral:lncRNA from 1 species